rnacentral:rRNA from 1 species
GAUGAACGCUAGCUACAGGCUUAACACAUGCAAGUCGAGGGGUAACGAGAGGAAAGCUUGCUUUCCUUGUCGACGACCGGCGCACGGGUGAGUAACGCGUAUCCAACCUGCCCCCAACUAGGGAAUAACCUUGCGAAAGUAAGACUAAUACCCUAUAAUUUCCUCAGAUGUCAUCUGACGAGGAAUAAAGAUUUAUCGGUUGUGGAUGGGGAUGCGUCUGAUUAGCUUGUUGGCGGGGUAACGGCCCACCAAGGCAACGAUCAGUAGGGGUUCUGAGGAGAAGGUCCCCCACAUUGGAACUGAGACACAGUCCAAACUCCUACGGGAGGCAGCAGUGGGGAAUAUUGGUCAAUGGGCGGAAGCCUGAACCAGCCAAGUAGCGUGCAGGAUGACGGCCCUAUGGGUUGUAAACUGCUUUUAUACAGGAAUAAAGUUAGCCACGUGUGGUUAUUUGUAGGUACUGUAUGAAUAAGGACCAGCUAAUUCCGUGCCAGCAGCCGCCGUAA